CCCGUAACCACAGUCUGAGAACACAGAACUUUAACUUCACUUAUGCAGCAAAUCAAAUAAAUACAAUUAGAUACUAUACUUCACUUGAGUUUCGAAACUUUUCCCUACACAAAUUAUUUUGCUGUAGCUAGCGAAUAUUAGCUAAGGUUACCAAGACGAGACGGACAUCAUCCCGCACGCUUGCAGACUUAUUUAUUGCAGGUCUGCUUAUUCUCCUCGACUUGGCCUGAUGCUUACAGCUGUCCAGGAAGUUACCAGAGCUUUGCUUUAACACAGUUACCACGGCUCUGUUGGGAUUGUGGUAACAUAUGCUGCUUAUUUGUCAAAUACGUUCAGAUGUGACAGUGUUGGGAUGUGUUGGGAUGUGUUGGGAUGUGUUGGGAUGUGUUGUGAUGUGUUGGGAUGGUUGGGAUGUGUUGGGAUGUGUUGGGAUGUGUUGGGAUGGUUGGGAUGUGUUGGGAUGGUUGGGAUGUGUUGUGAUGUGUUGGGAUGUGUUGGGAUGUGUUGGGUGCUGUGAAAGACAUCAUUCUAUCAUAACAUAUGGACCUAAUGGUAUCCUCGGCCCCCGCAACCAAAAUUGUGUAAUCGCUGGCCUCUGGCCAUCUACUCCAUGUUUCUGUAGGUCACCAGAGACUAAAACCCUGAAAUGCAUAUUGAUGUCAAUGGGAGACUUGCACAAGUUCGACUCAUCCCUUGUUAACUAAUCUUUUCAAGAUACACCGAACACAAAUAUAAACGCAACAUGCAAAUGUCAAAGAUUUUACCUACUUACAAUUCAUAUAAGGAAAUGAGUCAAUUGUAAUAAAUUCUUUAGGCCCAAAUGUAUGGAUUUCACAUGAUCUGGGAAUACUCAUAUGAAUAUGUUGGUCACAGAUACCUUAAAAAAAAGUAGGAGCAUGGAUCAGAAAACCAGUCAGUAUUUGGUGUGCAGCGUGACACAUCUCCUUCACACAGAGUUGAUCAGACUGUUGACUGUGGCCUGUGGAAUGUUGUCCCACUGCUUUUUGAUGGCUGUGUGAAGUUACUUGGGGCCCUGUGUUCACAACGUUGACAUCCGCAAACCGCUCGCCCACACGACGCCAUCUGCCCGGGUAGAGUUGAAACUGGGAUUCAUCUGGCAACCGCUCUGAUGGACAUUCCUGCAGUCAGCAUGCCAUAUGCAUGCUCCCUGAACUUGAGACAUCUGUGGCAUUGUGUUGUGUGACAAAACGGCACAUUUUAGAAUGGCCUUUUAUUGUCCCCAGCACAAGGAUCAUGUUUUUAAAUCAGCUUCUUGAUAUGUCACACCAGUCAGGCAGAUGGAAUAUCUUGGCAAAGGAGAAAUGCUCACUAACAGGGAGGUACACAAAUUUGUGUUCAAUUUGAGAGAAAUAAUAUUAUUGUGCGUACGUCAUUUCUGGGAUCUUAUAUUUCAGCUCAUGAAACCAACACUUUACAUGUUAUGUUUAUUUUUGUUCAGAAUAAAACAAGUGAUGACAAAUUUUGUUUACAAACUUUUUUAUUUUUUCAAUUAUUUAUGAAAUAAAUCCAUCCACACAAUCA
ensembl:lncRNA